UGAGCUGAGGACAGUAUGAAUGGAUGCCUAGAGUUUAGAUUAAAUGUAAUCCUAAACACUUAAAGGUCCACGUCAGUGGUGAAAAUGUGUUUGGUUUGCUUCAGCCUCCAGAAGUAUUCUGUGUUCAUACUGGAAACGAGAAAUUAGUUGGUUGGGAUAGCUAUGUACCUCAUAGAUUAAGGAAACUGGUAAGAAGUUAGCAUGCUCCUAGACCAGGGGUGGAGAAUGUGAGACCCAAGUACCAAACCUUCCAGGCCUCUCUGUCUGUCCCUCAGAACUCUCCUCAGGCCACACACCCUCCCUGGCCCUGCUUUUCACUUGAGUAGUUUUCCCUGGCUGGAGUGUGCUCUUGAACUCUGAUAGUGUCUCCUGCUUAUCAAUAUGGAGAAUAAAAAUGGUGUGCAUAGAAACUAGCCUACUGUACAAAGGUAAACUCUACAUUUGUCACUCCGCCCACUUUUACCUGUGGCAUGCGACCCUCGGAAAGUUGUCCAGAAAGAAUGCAGACUUCAGGCACGAACAGGUUCCCCACCUGCGUUCUAGAUCAAAGGGAAGUGACAUUUCCCUACCUUUCCCCAUCCAAAUCCCUCACAGUUGGCACAAGAGAACCACCUAUCUAGAGCUGAAGAAGCUAUCAUAGGAAAAAAUAGCAUAGGAUGACAUUUUCUUUUAGUCAUCGCUCUGUUUGGCCAAAGAUAUCACUGAACUGGGAUUUAAACUUGUUUAUGAUUCAGGAACCCUUCUGUGCCAGUAAAUGAGGAUCCUUCAUUAUUUUUAAAUUCUCUAGUGUGCUUAAUAAGUUGAAUAUUCUAGCAAGCCUUUGUCCUGUCUGAGAACAGGACAUGAGUUUGAGCCCUACAAGGAUCAAUAAAGAAACAAUAUAUUUUGUACCACCUAGAUAUUGGUUAACUGACUGGAUGUAUCCCUGCAAGCAUAGGUGAGGCCACCAUUUCUCUAUAGGUGAUUUGGUGUAAAAUUCAUCACUAGAAAGUCACAUAGUAGAUCCAAGCAUUUCAGUGGAAAUGUCUCCAAUCAGAGUAACUAAUUUCUGGUAUUCAAUGGGAAAAAAUUAUUGGAUGGAAGAUACUUUUUGUUAAUUACAACAUUAUUGUGAACCACCCCAACAUCUUUUGAUGAAGGGUGGUACAUAAAUCAAAUAAUAAUACUUAUGUUUCUUUAUGCACUAAAUGCUGACCUGAAUCCACCAUUCCCACAUGAAGGAUGAAGAAGCAAAUACCAGUUGGUUCCCUCCAGUGUAAUCAUUCCAUGAAUGGAAUGGACUUUUGUACAUGGAAAGUUGCACACAGAGGAGUCCUUCUGCAAACAGAGCUAUUCACAAAGUGAUUGUGUGUGAUGCAAUAUAAAUAGGGAAUCAAUAUGUUAAAGAUAAUUACAGCAUCUGAUCUAAAGGGAAGCAAAAUUGUUGCUGGUGACAUUUGUGGAAAAGUAGAAUUAGAUGAAAUUAGGGGGGGGAGCAAAAUUAAUUUGAUUAUCUUUAAGAAUAUCUUUGUCCAAAAAAAACUCAAAUGUAAAGACAUUCUUUCAAAUCUCUUUACUCACAAAUUGUUCAGUUGUUGAUUUUUUUAAAUAGCUCAGGUCAGAUAGGCUUUUAAGAAGUUGUAUUUUCUUCUCCAAAAGUUAGGAAGCUGAAAUUUAUUUCUGUAUUCUUAUCUUCUCAUGCUUCCUUACCUUGGGAAAAUUCUUGCCCUUUACUCAAAUACAUGGGUUCCUUGCAGCCUUUUUUUUUGCCAUCCGAGAAACUAGAACAGCUAAUGAUAAGGUAGAUUAGAGUGAAGUCUCAGCAGUUCUUUUCUCAAUUUCUCUUCUCCAUGGUAGCACAGUGUACAUGGUGCAUAUCAUCAAUGCUGCACAUCACCUGGGCUUGACCCAUCUUUGGUUGACAUAUUUCAAACCAAUGGAAUCUGAUGAUUCCAUCAUCCAGCUACCUCCCAUUGCCUAAUUUGUUCAUUUCACAUAUCUCACCUCAGAGUGCUCUGCUUCUGUUUACCAGAAGGCUCCUUGUUUCAUGUCUGCUUAUAGUACACUUUUAUUAACAUUCCUCUUCCAAAGUGUGCUUGUCUACAUUGGAUUCAUCCGGCUGGGGACCCACAGAUGCUUAUGGCUAUUGUAGCUUAGCUAGUCUAUAUAUGAGUCUUCAAAUCUUUCCUUGAAUGCCCCCAGUCAUCCCCUUCCCCAAGUUUCUUUAUAUAGAGCCGCCAUCCUUCCUCCUCCACUGCAACCUGUAUAUCUUACAAAUUAUUGGAGCCAGUGAACCAAGUGUUGUUUCUGAACAAAACAUGCUGCAUACUGGAUAACAUAGACAAUAUUUUUCCGACCUUCAACUUUUGUUUUGUUUUGUUAGGUUAAGAAAAACUUUGAGGAAUGCUGUUGUCUCAGCAAUGCACCUGUUUUUUUUUGUACAUUGAUUGUGUAAUUUAAAACAAAAAGGUAUAUAUAUAUAUAUAAUAAAUAUAUAUAUAUAUAUUGUGACUGUAUUACUGUGUAUACAAAAAUGAUAACUGAUCUAUGUAAAUGUUAUAUGGAUUUUAAUUCUUGUUUGAUUCUCGUACUCUUUAACAUCUCCUGAUGUAGAUGUAGCCAUCAUGUUUACAAGAUGAGCUUCAUGCUGAGGUUGAUCAGGUCACUGGGGUGGAAGGUGAACAAGGAGUAGUUCUGACUCCUAGAUUAGUGACUAGCUGAUGCUGCACUUCCAACUUAAAUUAGAUUUCUCUCCAAGUUCAAACUACUCAAGACUUAAUUUGAACUCCAGCCCAAGCCUGUUACUAAGAGCAAGCCACUGACUUGCACCCCAUCUGACAGCUGGAUAAUAUGGCUCAAGGUUUGACAAAGUCCUGCUUUCUUUUUGUUAUGCUCAGAAAGUUCUGAAUAUACCCCAUUCUUGUUCCAACAGGUAAAGCUGAUCUUUGGUGAGGGUAGCAUCAGUUUUCACAUGAGGCACUAUUCCCUAAGUUGUCUCACUCUGCAUAGAAAGCAUUGCAUUUGGUCUUCCUUGACUGUUGAGCGGGAGUCAGAAGAUGCAAAUGGGGAAAACCAAUGGAUGUGCUUUGCUAAUGGUAGAGGAUGAGGAAGAGUUAAUGAAAGCCUUGAUUCUGGCGCGAGUUAAGCCUCUGCUGCCACAUCCCUGCACCAUCACCCCCAAGGUAUCAAAAAUUAAUGCUAGCAUGACCUAGGAGCCCUCACCCCAGUUCUUAGAGAGAGGAAAGUAGAGAUUUGCUUGUUAAGAGAGCCAUUUACUGACAUUGGAAGGGCUGAUUCUCAUGCCCAUCUCUGGAACGGUAGCUGUACUAGUUCAGAGGCCGUCAGUGGCACACAUAGAGGCAGAUGGAUAAAGGCAGGCGCAUGCAGAAUUCUCUGCGCAUUAACUUUUAGCAUGCCGACCUCUUGGGAGUAGCUUUUUCAGCACUUUCAACAGGACCCUAAAAGUCAAUGCAAUUCUUUGCAAACCCUUAGCCUUCACAUGCCUACCUCCAUGUAAUGAAACAAGGUGCCCGAAUCACAGUCUGCCUAGUGGCUACCCUCCUGGAAGUGCUCUUGAGAAUCAGCAGUAAGGUUUCUGUAAUUGUUGUGUGGGCCAAGGGCCACAUAGUGAAUGCUGGAUCCGAAGAAAAGCUAUGGUCCCUUUGUCUACUCCAGGGGUUGUCAACCUGGUCCCUACUGUCCACUAGUGGGCGUUUCAGGAUUCUAGGUGGGUGGUAGGGGGUUCUAUGGCACAAGCUGACUUCCAUCGAGCACUGGUGGGUGGUAAGGAAAUUUUACCAUCAAGAAAGAUGCAUUAGUGGGUGGUAGGUAUAAAAAGGUUGACUAUCCCUGGUCUACUCCUUCUGAUUAAAGCCCUAGUGGACUGGGGGAGAUUGUUACUGUCAGCAAAGCUACAUACUAACAGAUGGAGAGUAAUGUAUCUGUGUCAUGCCAGUCUGCCUCUUCUUCCAUAAAGAGCAAAAACUAUACUUAAGAAAAACAAUAAUAAAAGGAUUAUUUUAUUCAUG